AUACAUUUUUUAUAAGUUAUCCUAAAGCCCUAGGCCUCUUGCAGGUGCACUCUGAGCAAACUUCCCAGCUGGGCCUCAUCUUGGCUCCUCUCUCUCAAGGAAGGCAUCAGCACGCCCACUCUGUCCUUGGCCCAGUUGGGGGUACUCAGAAAACCUAAUCAAUUAAACAGAGAGGCCAAGUGCAAACAACCCACUCAGAGAGCUGUGCGACAGAUAGCAGGGAGAUACGUAAUUAUGCUUGGGUAAUUCUGCCUUAAUCCUCCCAGAGCCACCGGCUGGAGCUAGCUGGAUCAGCUCUGACCCAGCUUAGCAAACAGAAGGAGGCAAGGGGAGGCUGUAGCUGUGUUGAGGGCUCAGCAUGCUCUCCGCCUGUGUGGACCACUGGGGCCACAAGGAAGGAGGCAGGCGGAUGAGAGUGAAGAGGCUCUUUUCUAAAGUAGGCCAAGUUCAGUGCGGAGGUGCUGAGCAGAGGCCUGGGUGUUGAGCAGGAGGGUGAACUGCAGGAGGCCCUCGGCAAGCAGAGGCUUCACAGAGCACCUGCUGGAGGCCGGGCACUCCGUGGGGACCGCAGACAGCCUUGCUCACAGAGGAAGUUUCAGAACUUGUGUGUGAGCUUUGCGUCGGGUCGGGCCCAUCCCUGUUCAUCCUCCCAGCUCGGAAGUGAGGAGCUCAGUAUUUGCUGAUGGUUGUCAGGUAAGUGAACAGCUGCAUUAGAGAAGCAAGAUCUAGGAUGCUCGGGGUACUGCAGGGUGGUAGACGAGAGGUGCUAGAAUGCCUUUUCUGAGACCUUUGAUCUCGACAUCCAUGGACAGCGGCAUGGCUACAGAGGCACCGGUAGAGGUGGGGCCUGGGAGUGCUGCCAUCUCUAGUCUUGGUCUGGAGCCCCAACAGGGAUUGAGCACCUUGUCCUAACACCCUGAUGACUUUCUAGGACACAGACUGGUGGAAAGUGACUGGGGUGAGGUGGGGCCUUGGGAAGAAAGUAUCUGGUCUCAGUCCCCAGUCCCUGUCUCCCUUGAGUGCUUUCAUCAGGUGUCCAGGUCUGAUUCACAACCAGCAGGAUGGCCAAGCUGGCCACGAGCUCUGCGUGGGCACAGUGUGCUGUGAAUGGAGGUUGUGUGGCCAUCAGGGUGUUGUGGUGACGAUUCUGUGCUGGAAAGAAACCCUCGCGGGCAGCAGUGGCUCGCUGCUGAGGUAUAAAUCUGACAAGUGGCUGACUGGAAGCUAAGAACACAACACAGAGAGCUGUGAGGACAUGGCUGGCUCUCCAACUCCAGUGUGAGGCAACCCUAACACAUCACGGGAGAGCUAACCUGCAUCCCGGCCUUUGCUUAGCCUCUUCCUUCUGUGUGGAAUAUCCUUCCUGUCUCCCCCGACUGCUGGUGCGCUCCUAUUGAUCCUUCAAGGCCCAGCUCAAGCACCUGCUUUUCUAGAAACCCUAACUCAAGCAUUCCAUCUUCUACCAGCCCUACGACUCCCAGUAUCUCUUUGUGCUGUCUCCCGAGGUCACAAGCCAACUGUAUCCAAGCCCGACAUGAAGAGGAAGACAGAAUGACCAGCUCGGUCCAGACGCUGGGUGAAGAACAGGAACUGGUGCUCUAUACUGAACAAAUCAUCUAGAAGGUGGUAGGGGUGAGGGCUACAGGUCCCUGAACGGGGGAUGGCAGGGAGGGAGGGUGCGGCUGGCCCCAAGGUUUGGCAGCUCAACGCCGGUGCCCUCUUUGUCACAGGAUGCCAUGAUUCUGCUGAUCUCAGACCACAACUAAUUAUUCUAAUGGGUUUAAAUGGCCUUAAAUGUUCUCAGAGUUUGGACGGGACCCAUCUGGAGCCGGCAGGUGGGCUGCUCCCAGUGACUGCAAGGGGCUGAGUUCAGCAUGGAUGCUGCAGGAUCCAAGGUGGUCAUUCUAGGUGUCCUGGGGGGGCCUUUGGCAGAUGUGGGUGGGAGGGCAGUCUCUGAAGAGUGGCAAGGCCAGCUCUACACCAACUCCACUCUCACCCCUGGUCCUAAUCAGCUUACCAAGCCUCCCAAGGAGGUAGAAACCCAUUUUUGCAGAGGAAGAAACUGAGGCAUGAAGGGCUGGUGACUUACCCAGGGCCCCCACAGAGAAGCUCUUCUCCACUGUGGCUCCAGAGAUCAUGCCCCUGCCUUUUCAAAGGUGGGCAGGUCACAAAGAUUUCUUUGUGGCCUCACCUGGAGCAACACCGAGAGCCUUAAGAAGGACCCGGAGGUACAUUACCAGAGUGGUGAAGAUGAAGUGGUAGUAUUCCGUCAUCAUGCCCAUGGCCAUGGCCUGUGGGGAAGCAGAG
rnacentral:sRNA from 1 species